GGUGGCUCAGUGGUAGAGUGCUUGCCUUGCAAUGCAUGAGGCCCUGGGUUCGAUUUUCAGCACCA
rnacentral:tRNA from 1 species